rnacentral:rRNA from 1 species
GAAUUCGCCCUUAGAGUUUGAUCCUGGCUCAGGACGAACGCUGGCGGCGUGCUUAACACAUGCAAGUCGAACGGAGUACCCUCGAAAGAGAUUUCGGUCAAUGGAGAGGACUACUUAGUGGCGGACGGGUGAGUAACGCGUGAGGAACCUGCCUUUCAGUGGGGGACAACAGUUGGAAACGACUGCUAAUACCGCAUAACGUACUGGUAUCGCAUGGUACUGGUACCAAAGAUUUAUCGCUGAGAGAUGGCCUCGCGUCUGAUUAGCUAGUUGGUAGGGUAACGGCCUACCAAGGCGACGAUCAGUAGCCGGACUGAGAGGUUGGCCGGCCACAUUGGGACUGAGAUACGGCCCAGACUCCUACGGGAGGCAGCAGUGGGGAAUAUUGGGCAAUGGGCGCAAGCCUGACCCAGCAACGCCGCGUGAAGGAAGAAGGCUUUCGGGUUGUAAACUUCUUUUGACAGGGAAGAGCAGAAGACGGUACCUGUCGAAUAAGCCACGGCUAACUACGUGCCAGCAGCCGCGGUAAUACGUAGGUGGCAAGCGUUGUCCGGAUUUACUGGGUGUAAAGGGCGUGUAGCCGGGCUGACAAGUCAGAUGUGAAAUCCGGGGGCUCAACCCCCGAACUGCAUUUGAAACUGUUGGUCUUGAGUAUCGGAGAGGCAGGCGGAAUUCCUAGUGUAGCGGUGAAAUGCGUAGAUAUUAGGAGGAACACCAGUGGCGAAGGCGGCCUGCUGGACGACAACUGACGGUGAGGCGCGAAAGCGUGGGGAGCAAACAGGAUUAGAUACCCUGGUAGUCCACGCUGUAAACGAUGGAUACUAGGUGUGCGGGGACUGACCCCCUGCGUGCCGCAGCUAACGCAAUAAGUAUCCCACCUGGGGAGUACGAUCGCAAGGUUGAAACUCAAAGGAAUUGACGGGGGCCCGCACAAGCGGUGGAUUAUGUGGUUUAAUUCGAUGCAACGCGAAGAACCUUACCAGGGCUUGACAUCCUACUAACGAAGUAGAGAUACAUUAGGUACCCUUCGGGGGAAGUAGAGACAGGUGGUGCAUGGUUGUCGUCAGCUCGUGUCGUGAGAUGUUGGGUUAAGUCCCGCAACGAGCGCAACCCUUAUUGUUAGUUGCUACGCAAGAGCACUCUAGCGAGACUGCCGUUGACAAAACGGAGGAAGGUGGGGACGACGUCAAAUCAUCAUGCCCCUUAUGUCCUGGGCUACACACGUAAUACAAUGGCGGUCAACAGAGGGAUGCAAAACCGUGAGGUGGAGCGAACCCCUAAAAGCCGUCCCAGUUCAGAUCGCAGUCUGCAACCCGACUGCGUGAAGUCGGAAUCGCUAGUAAUCGCGGAUCAGCAUGCCGCGGUGAAU